UAAUUUAAUUUGUUUUGUUUCUGUUUCUGUGUGCUUUUAUUGAAAAGAAGCAAAAUGAAAAGAGGAAGAUAAGAAGGUUUGAAUUUGAUAGGAAUUCACCUUUUUCCCCCAAUGUAGAUAAUGUCUGUGCAGUCAAGGAGUGAGAAUGUGAACACUUCUCUAUUUGACAAAAGAGAGCAUAUUGAGAAACCACAUAGCACUUGCAAUCUUCUUCGCAAAGUUCAGGUUUACUUUCUAGUUAAUCUUGCAGAAUCCGGUUCGUUGUUAUUUGAAGUUGCGGUUGCUUUGUAGUUAUUUGAAGUUGCUGUUGCUGUUAUCGUUCAAAUCAAUAUUACUGUCGCAUCAGCUCAUAAGGUGUAAUCACUCUUUUCUUAUCUCAUCAAAGGGAUGGUACUGUGCCCGUCUGGUUUAUUCAAAAGUACCUCAUGAAGAAACUUAAUUUUGCUAGCGAAGCUAAGGCAGCAAAGGAGUUUGAGUCUGAGCUUAAAAAUGACCCAGAUUCCACAGGAGAGGAGCCAUCUGAGAAAUCUACUGUGAGCGAAGAGGAGAAGCAAGACACAGAGGUAACUAGUUCUAAGGAGAGUGUAUGACAUUUGUAAUAGAUGUGAUAUGAUAAGUAGGUAUCAAAUUUUUACCAUGACAAUAUAUAUUAAAAAAAACAUCUUUCUCUAACCAAUAUCUAUUAAUUUAUCAGUUAUUCUCUUUAACAUGAGAAUGCAUCUUACAUGCAAGUGUACAAUUUAUUUAAGGAGAAUUUGAACUUUUUUUUUUUCUUCCUUCA